AGAAAACUCAGAAGCUGUCGAAAGGUCCAUUGAAGUGAAAGGAAAACACAUCCCUGCUUCUGAAGACCCUGAAAUAAUUUGGAAAAAAAAAAAAGUGAUCAGUGGUUUUGACUCUAAAGCUUAUUCUAAGGCGUUUUAAAGAUAAAUGGUAAACCCGAACUGGAAAUCCAUCUGGCCGGCUGCCUGCUCUAAUGAAUAACCCCACUUUGGCGCGUGCAAUGUAAGCAGAAAGUUCUCUCCCGGCCUCUUUCGUCUGUCAUGAAUCUACGAGACAGCCGACAUAAUAUCUGGGCGACAACGGGUGCGCUAACAGUGCAGUCCUGGCUCACAUCGGAAGGAAUUUUACUGAUGGCCGUGAGAACUCUGUCACAAUUCCUUGCUCAAAUGGCAUCACGAUUCAACAUUUAAAGACUCUCUAAGCUGAUUAGUUAAAAGUUUUCUUGAUAAAAAUGGAGAAGAAUUAUAAACAGAAAUGCAGAGAAAUUAGAAAGCUAGUCCUAUGUAAAGAAGGAGCUAGUCCUUUACGUAGGAGCUAGUCUUAUGUAAAGAAGAUUCUACAUACUGAAACACACAGAUGAAUCCAGGAGACUAGCAGGAAAUCACAUUAUCAUCUUUCACUUUUCUCUCCUGAAACUGGAAGGACUAGAUUCUGAAAUAUUUGGGUUUAAUAAACAACAACCAUAAGAAUCCUUUUUCCUCCAAGAACUUCACAUUUCUCAGCUAUAGGGCAGAGUCCUGAUACCACACAUUAUUACAAAGUAAAGUCAAGCAAGAAAGAAGUGUUGGGAAUACUUGGAUCUGCAUACUUUUAAUGAAUAUAAACUCUUUAGCAUAGGACAUGAAAUGCAAAUCACGGGAAAAUGUAUGAUUCUAUUUACCAAAUAGUCACAAUCAAGUGAUCUGAUUAUAGGGCAAAAUUAGGAGAGACAUUCUAAAACUGUCUUUGUAGUGUCAUUAAAAAUAAUGAAGGUAUUUACAUUUGAUAAGCCAUUUAUCUCAUUAUUUC
ensembl:lncRNA